rnacentral:rRNA from 1 species
AUCGUAACUCCUACGGGAGGCAGCAGUAGGGAAUCUUCCGCAAUGGACGCAAGUCUGACGGAGCAACGCCGCGUGAGUGAAGAAGGUUUUCGGAUCGUAAAACUCUGUUGUUAGAGAAGAACAAGUGCUAGAGUAACUGUUAGCGCCUUGACGGUAUCUAACCAGAAAGCCACGGCUAACUACGUGCCAGCAGCCGCGGUAAUACGUAGGUGGCAAGCGUUAUCCGGAAUUAUUGGGCGUAAAGCGCGCGUAGGCGGUUUUUUAAGUCUGAUGUGAAAGCCCACGGCUCAACCGUGGAGGGUCAUUGGAAACUGGAAAACUUGAGUGCAGAAGAGGAAAGUGGAAUUCCAUGUGUAGCGGUGAAAUGCGCAGAGAUAUGGAGGAACACCAGUGGCGAAGGCGACUUUCUGGUCUGUAACUGACGCUGAUGUGCGAAAGCGUGGGGAUCAAACAGGAUUAGAUACCCCGGUAGUCCUAGAGC